AGCGAACGCUGGCGGUAGGCCUAACACAUGCAAGUCGAACGGCAGCACAGUAAGAUCUUGCUCUUCUGGGUGGCCGGACGCGGACGGGUGACGUAUGUAUCGGAAUCUACUUUUUCGUGUGGCUUCACGUAGGUAAACCUACUAUCAUACCGCAUACGCCCUACGGGUGAAAGCAGUGGAUCUUUGGACCUUGUGCGAAUGAAUGCGCCGAUGUUGGAUUAGCUAGUUGGCGGGGUAAAUGCCCACCAAGGCGACGAUCCGUAGCUGGUCUGAGAGGAUGAUCAGCCACACUGGAACUGAGACACGGUCCAGACUCCUGCGGGAGGCGGCAGUGGGGAAUAUUGGACAAUGGGCGCAAGCCUGAUCCAGCCAUACCGCGUGGGUGAAGAAGGCGUUCGGGGUGUAAAGCCCUUUUGUUGGGAAAGAAAAGCAGCAGGUUAAGACCCCGCUGUUCUGACGGUACCCAAAGAAUAAGCACCGGCUAACUUCGUG
rnacentral:rRNA from 1 species